CAUGUCUUCAAUAAAAUGGCCUAAAGAAAAGUGUGAGGAUCCGCCAUCUAUCAUGACUUUAUGACUUAUUUUUUCCAUUUCUUUCCUCUUCUUCCUCACUUCACUAUUAAUAUUCAUUAGGUUCCUUAAUCCAUUUUCAAUCUCAUGAGCACUUACAAUAUGAUCACGAUCCUUAUUGUAAUCUAUUUUAAUUUCUACUGCCAACCCCAAAUCUUUCACCAUUUGAAAUGCGUUGAUUUGUUGUUCUGCAUAUAUUGGCCAUGUGGCUACUGGAACACCAUACCAUACGCUUUCUAGCAAAGAAUUCCACCCACAAUGAGAUACAAAUCCUCCAACAGCUGAGUGGGCUAAAACCGCUAUUUGUGGAGCCCAUCCAAUCACCUUUCCAAUUCUAGCCGUCCGAUGUAAAAAUCCUUCUGGUAGAACUUGCUCAAUAUUUUCAUGGUCGCUUGGAAUCAUUUUACCCUUUGGGGGAGGUUGGCGAAGGGACCACAAGAAGCGAUGCCCACUGUGCUCUAACGCAUGUGCUAUCUCCUUGAUUUGAUCCGCACCAAAGCUUCCCAUGCUCCCGAAGCACAGGAAAACCACGGACGAUGGAGGCUGAUCAUCAAGCCAAUUCAUGAUGGCACUAGCAUCUUGUUGACCCCCACCAGAUCCCAUUCGGGUGUUGAGUAUGGGUCCAACGGGAUACACCUCGGGUACUGUACUGCCAGAAAGUGAUUGAAUGGCAUGUGAUUCAAGCUCAAUAAACGUAUUUACCAGAAUACCCUUGACUUCUCUGAAUCUCCUCGUGUGAUACAGAAGCAUCUCAGCCCCUCCGCUUUCCUUGUCAAACAUCCCAGCAGGGAAGACCUUACCCGGAAUUGAGUUAACAAAAGUCGGAACAUCCAACUCAGCAUCCGAGUCCUUGAACUCAUUAAUAUCCAAGCCCUCAUAAUCAUGGAGGAACUGAACAUGUAACAGGAAGCCAAGAACAGCAGCGCCGGAAGAGAAGAAGAGAUAGGAAGGCACCCCAAACUCAUCGGCCACGUCAAUCAUGUGGGUGCAGAACAUAUCAAUAACGAACCCAGAGAGCCGAACCGAGUUGGAGCGAGUGAGCUCGUGGACGGCGUCUCGGACGAGUGGUAUGUGAACUUUGAGGAAUUCAGAGAAGAAGUGACCAGACGGGGUCGUUUCGGAGCUGACCUCUACAGGAGGAAGUGUGACGAAACGUAUGGAAUCAGAGUCCGUGUCCAUACCAUCAGUGGACCCAAACGGAAACUUCAUGAUGAAAAUCGUGAUUGAGAAUCGGGGGUCUCGCUUAGUAAUCAGCUUUGCAAUCUCCAGUGCAGACGCAAGGUGGCCGAUGACAGGAAAUGGGAUGAAGACCAGCUCAGUUUGCUCCAUCACCAACUAGCAGUUACUGCCAAGACAGAAAAAAGGGAUGUUUCGAGGGCUUUGCGGUGGUGUCACGCUCUUAUACUAGUGGCUGGAUAGUAUUGGAGGGCAAAGGAACCGAUGUCAAGUCUUAGCUGGUUCAAUGUAUUUUCUUUAUUGUUUUUGUAUGAUUUGUGGUUGGCGUUGGUUGAAGAUUGAGGCAAAAUGGGUGGUUCCAAUAUGCUACACCUUUCACAUAAAGUUCUUGGAGAUAUUUGGGUCAAAAUUUGUAAAUCCAACCUCUAUAUUGGUUUAAAGCUCCGUAAAUAAAAAUUUUAAAGGAAUAAAAACAUCUUAAUUUAAAAAAAUAAAAAAUAAAAAUUUGCUUUAGCAUAUAUGAAUGAUAUUUUUAUUUAAAAAAUAUUAUCAUUUUCGAUAUUUAAAAAAAUAAAGAGAAUUGUUUGAAUUAGAGAUUUUUUAAUUAUUUUAAUCAAAUAUCUCCAAUUUUCUUUUUUGUUUUUAUAAUGAUUUUUCAUUAACCAAACAAAAUAAGUAAGAAAUAUUAUCUUGAUAUUAGAAACAUAUUUCGGGGCAAUACUCACAAUUUUUUAUACAUAAAUAGGAUAUAUUAAAUUAGUAAAUUUUAAAUCUAUUCAAAUUGAUUCCAUUGUCAUAUAGGUUGAUUAUUGGGAUUUAAUUAUUACUUUUGAUCAACGAGAAAUUAUACAAGUCAUAAUUCAAAAUAUAUUCAAUCACACAAGAAUAUAAAAAAUAUUCGAAAAAACUCUUACAAAAAUUGUCUCCGCCAAUUUAGAUACAAAAACUUAAACACAAUAUUAAAAAUCCACUAAAUAUAAAAGAAUGUACACAUUUUACCUAACCCCAAAUACUUCUUUUUAUAAAUGUUAUAUCAAUCAACACUUAUGCGUAUUCAUCAUAUCUACAAUGCAAUAUUUUUCUAUGCUCCUUAAUUAGUGGAUCUGCUCAAACCCAUAUUAUGGCUUUGGAGCUCAAAUUUUCGAACUUUGCUUUUCAUGCUAAUUGAAAGGACUCUCAAGAUUUACUUUUCAGACUUGAUUUUGACUUUUUGAAGUAUAGGAACUAGGAAAAAUAAUGGUUAUCUUGUGGAAUUUCUUAGGGGUUUUUUUUAUUUCAUACCCCAAAAUGAAUUUUUCAAAUCCUUUUCAUACCUAAACCUUGGUUUUUUUUUUUUUUUUUAGUUUUAUCAUAUUUUAAAACUUAAUCUAGAAAAAUAAGAAUUUUCAAUCAUCAAUUUUCCCAAAAAGAAAAAAAAAAUCUAGACAAAAACACCUAAAAACUUAAGUUACCACUAAAUUAUUAAUUUUAUAACACCACUAUACCAUUUUUAAUUUCAGACUCAGAACAUAAUUAUAUUUUGAGCUUCAAAUUUUGUGUCUUCAACUUGAAUAUGUUAGUAUAAUACUCAUUGUAGUGAAAGUAGUCUUGAUUUAAUAAUCUUAGGAGUAAAAUUGUCACUCCAUUGUAAUACACUAACAAAGUUAAUACCAUAUAAAAAUAAAUUUAGAAACAUAUUUUAUAUAAAAAAAAUAGUUCAAAUUUUGGAAAAGUCUAUAGCACUAAAUUAAUAUGAAUUAAAAUUCAAAUUUGGACCCUUUCAAUUGUCCAAUAAAAUUUUUGUAUUAAAUGAAAGGACAACUAUAUGAAACCAGAUUACAAACAAAGGAGACCAAGGUAUUAAAUAAUGGGACCAAAGUAUAAAGCAAUAACAUUACUAAGGUACAAUGCAAUGGGACCACAUUAGAGAUACAGAGUAAUGAGAUCAAAUUCUAGGUUGAAUAUUGACACAAAAGGUAGGUGUGUGGACCCCGCAUUUUCGCUCAAUGCGUUCCCACUCGAUUGCGAAACUUGUUUUUUUAUUUAUUUGCUGAAAAUUUUAUUUUUUUGAAAAAGACCUAGAGUUACUGCUUAUUUAUGUUUUAUUUUUAAAGGAAAAAACAAAAUAAGAAAAAAAAACCCUAAGUGUGACUUUGGAAGGAAAAAUAGGUCGGUGAAAAAUCGAGUUCGAGUCCGAGGGUCAGGUUACCUAUUAAGAAGGUACGGUGGUGAACUGUAACACUCCUCUAAGCCCUAUAAUAAGGUCUCUACUAAAUAAGGUGAAACAAGUGUGACAAUUGAUAAGGAAAUUAAUGGAUACGAAUGAAAUGAUAAAAUAAUAAAACAAAUCGAGCAUGAGAAUAAGCAAAGUGGGAGUGAGAGAGUACCUUGACAACAAAUAAUAGUGCACUAUCAUGGAAACAAGGUUAGCUCAAGUAUAAAAUUAUCACAUGCAUAUCAAAGAGCAAGACAAAGAUCAAACGAUAUUCAUUAAGCAUAGUAGUUGACAAUCGGAAGAUAUCAUAUGUAGGGCCCCCACCAAAGCCCAAUUGAUUUUGUUUGAAUUAAUCCCACAAAUUCCAGUGUUUUAGAAUUAUGAGAAUUGUCUUCAUGCUUAUUAAAAAUCAAGGAAAGCAUUUUAAAAUCAAGGAAAAUUUGUGAAAGUGCUUAUUUGAAAGGAAAUGUAGCAAGUUUAUUUAAAACGAGAAUUUUAGUGACUUAAAAUCCUAAUGAAUGAUGAAAAAUGGUAGAAUUAAAAAAUAUAUAUUUGAAAAUUGGAGUCAAAUUAAAAUUAUUUGAAAAACUAAAAUUUGAAAAUUAAGUCUCGAAAAUUAUUUGAAAAUUGAAGUUUUGAAAAUUAAAUUUAAGAAUUAGAAUUUUUGAAAUUAAAUUUGGAAAUUAUUUGAGAAUUGGGAUUUUGGAAAUUAUAUUUAAAAACCUAAGCUUUGAAUAUUAAUAUUUGAAAACGUGAAUUGGGAAUUGAGAAUUUUUGGAAAAUUUAUUUUAAGAUGACAUUUUAAAAAUUAAAUUUGGAAUCUAAGAAUUUUUGGAAAAUUUAUUUGAAGAUGGCAUUUUAAAAAUUAAAUUUGGAAUUUUGAAAAUUUUGGAAAUUUUGAAAAAUGGUAUUUUAAAGAUUAAAUUUGGAAAUUGGAAUUCUUGGAAAUUUUGGAAAUUUUGAGAAUUGAAGUUUUGAAAAUUAAAUUUAGGAAAUGGAACUUUGGAAAUUAAAUUUAAGAAUUGGAAUUUUGAAAAUUAAAUUUGAAAGAAAUUGGAAUUUUGAAAAUUAUUUGAGAAUUGGGAUUUUGGAAAUUAGAUUUAAAAACCUAAGCUUUGAAUAUUAAUAUUUGAAAACAUGAAUUGGGAAUUGAGAAAGAGAUGAGGGCAUUUAAAGAAAAUAAAAAAGAAAAUUGGCCCAUCAAAUGCUAAUGGUAUAUGCAGUGGCUUCAUAUAUUUUAUAAUAAGUUGUGUACAAUCAAAUUGUACUUUGUUGACUUUAUUUUUUUCUUUUGCUUCAUUUGAUCCAACCUUGUCUCUUAUUAUACUAAUGUUGUGGAUACCACGAAUUUGUGUAAGCUAAAUGAUGCAUUGGCCCACAAUGCUCGUAGCCCCACUUUGCACAAUAGCAUCAUUUGGACUUAGAUUGGCAAAGUCUUCAACCAUUCUUAGUGCGGUCAAAGGAUUAAUAAUAACAGUGGCUGCAUAUUCCACUCCUCCAAGGGAACUUCCCUCACCUGCUCACACAACGCUUCACCUCCGCCUCCGGUAAAGGCUUACAGUCCAUCAGUUAUCAAUUUGUUUUUCAUAGGCAAGUGAAAAAAAAAAAGCAAAAGACAAAGAAAAAUGGGUCUCCCCGAAUCCGAAUAUGCUUACCAUUUUGAAUUAAAAUAGGAAAAACAUAAAAAAAAAAAAAAAACAAUUGCCACUUUUGGGUUGUUUCAGCGUGAAACUGAAGUUGAAUAAUGGAGGUGAAAGCUGAAAACCGAGAGGUAGCCAUUUGGGCUAUGAAAAUGAUUUAUAUAUUGGAUUAGUUUGAGGGUUGGCCAUUUAAACCAUGCACUGUGAACUUUUGCACCUUUCUCUUUGGCAGCUUGAGCCAACCAACUUACAAAAUGACAAAAAAUGAAACAAUGAUUCCAUGAGUUGUGUGUGUGCAGGUGGGUAAGAGUUGAAGGCAGAGCAUGCGCUCUUGCAGGCCACCACCCGCCUGUUGUCUUGAGAUCUCACUUGGAAACCCACCGGACACAUGGUGUUGAGGAGGUUGAGGUUGGAAAGAUGAGAUGUGGGGAUAAAUUAGGCUGGUGAUACACACAACACUAUACACUAGGAACACCCACCGAAAAUAGAGAAGAAUAACAAGAAAAGAGAGCAUCCAAAAAAAGGAAAAACAUAACUGCACCAGUGUUGACCUAAGAGCUCCUCCAAAAAAAUCCAAAUAUCCUUCCUAGUUGCUACCCGUUUUCUUGUCCUAUGCUUAGUUCAUUCCCCUCUUGCUUCCCCAGAAAAAUCCGUAGACCCUCACCCCCCCAACUGCCCUAAGAACCCACUCUCCAGAUUUUUUCUUUCCUAGCCUUCCGAAACUGAAAAUCUCCUCUACUCUUCCUUUGUUUUUCUCCCUAGAUAUCACCUUUCCUCUCACCCAUUCCAGUAGUCCCUAUCCACUUAGCCAGUACCCCAACCACCACCAUGGUGAGUUGGUGGUGUCCUUGGCCAUGCGUCCCAUGCAUGUGGCUCCUUCGAAAACCGGCCCCCCACUCCAAAAACCAAUUGUCAGCUCUCUCCUGCAUGGUGAAAAUGUGCUCCAAAAAUAACCAAAAAGACCUAGACCAAAAUGAGGGUCUAUAAGGUGGUUCUACAUUUCUCUCAUUUUAACUUAAAACAAAGAAUAAAAAUAUGAUUUAUAUUAUGAAAGUUUAGAACUUGCUUAUGAAAUACUUAGAGGCAAAUAGGUAGCUCUUUUUUUUAGCUCAAAUUUUUAUUUUUAAAUUUUUCUUUAAGUAUUAUAGAUAAAAUAAAAAAAUUCAAUGGCACAAAGAGAACCAUUUACAUGGAAAACCACCCAUAAAGUCUCCCAAAAACUUUAAAGAUGUGAAAACCAUGAGGUCAAAGACCAUAGUGAUAUAAUCCACUAAAUAAGAAAAACAGGUAUUUAUUUUUACUUUAUGGUUACUACUCCCUCAGACUUACUCCUCACAACUACAUUAAAUGUCAUGUCCAUGACAUAGCACCAUCGUGCUCCUCAAUGGACUCCUCAACACCUAGCAGAUGUGAUUCUCUCUCACAACCCUAAAAAAAAAAAUCACAAUCAAUAUGAAAGUUUCAUAUUCAGUGCACAGAAAAAAAAAAAAAAAACUUAAACCUUAUGCGUAUAAGUUCUUUGGAGAACUCUCCCAGUAGAUAUAUAUUAGAGAAAAUCUAGUGGACUUAGAAUUAAUUUAUAAAUCAUAUUUUAUCAAAAAUUAAUUUAGGAACUUAAGAAUCUUAGAAAGAUUUGGAAAGAUGUUUUUUUUUUUUUAAAAAAAAAAAAAACAAUUUAGGAAAUUUAAGAAUCUUAAAAAGAUUUUAUUUUUUUCAAUUAAAAAUAUUUAGAAAUAUUUUCUUUUUUAAAUUCUCAAUUUAAAAUUCUUUCAAAAUUAAUUUUAUGCUCAAUUUCCAUUCUUAUAAGUCCACUCUAUGUCUUUUAUAUCAUUAUUUUUAAUUAACUCAAUCAUACAUACCUAUUUAAUUCUAGGUUGAUUUUGUUAGCAACCUUUAAUCUUCAAAAUAUAUGUAAAUCACAAGAAAGUAUAUAUAGUCCUAAAACCAAAAUGGAUGGAAUAAAAUUGUCAACUUAAUCUAAAUAAUCUAAUCCACUAGCAACCUCCCCUUCUCUAGCAAUUUUUUGACAAAAUAAUGAUUACAUAAAUCUCCUAAUAUUCUCAAACAAAGUUUACAAAUUGCUUAUCAAUGUCACUCAUCUCAACCAAACAUCUUAUAAAUUGAUUUUCAAUAUCUACAACUCAUCUAAAAAAUUCUUGAAAUCUAAAACAUGUAAUUUUCAUAUUCUUAAUCAAUAAAACAUGUGAAAAGUAGUGUGUGUGAAAAAAACCAAUAAAAUAAUAUAAUAUGAUCACAAUCCAUCUUGCUUGGAAAAAUAUUUAUAUCUAAUUCAACUAGAAAAAAAAAGGAUAUCUUCAUUAAUAAAUAUUAAUACAAAUUAUCAAUUAGAUAUCAAAAUAAUCAUAUGAAUUUCUCCCUCCUUUUGUUCUUAAAUUACUAAAAUAUUCAUUUCUAAUCGUGUAAGUUUCACUUAGGGCUAAUAGAGUGCCAAAUAUGCAAUUCCUGCGGUAGAGGAGGUGACAUUCCAUAGUAGUGUGUGAUUUCAAAAUUGAGCAAAAUUUCAAAAUAAUUUUCAAAAUCAAGUUGAAUUUAUGAAACCACCAUUUCAACUUCAAAAUGGUCCUUCUGCUCUACCUAGUUGCCUUCUAAUGGCCAUAACCUAUUUGUUUUAGUUUUGAUUUGUGCACCAUUUGAAAUGUUGAACUCUUAACCUCUUAAGCUUCAAAACCAUAUAUAGCUUGCCCCAAAAAGAUCUUGGAAAGUGCUUUAAAAAUCAUGUCAAAUUCAAGGUAUGUCAUAUUGUUAUUGUAAGGUUUAAGUCUGAAAUUCCAUAUUAAGCAUGAUUGUAAUUAUUUCAAACAUUCUUCCUCAUGAUUGUUUGCCCUCUACCUCUAUCCAAAACAUUAGUUUUUCAUCUUUAAUGCUCAUAAAUUCCUUGUUUUUCCUUUGCCUUCUCAUGCCUUAUAAGUGUUGAAUCUCUCUUUAAGCAUAAUUGAUCUUAUACUCUACUUUGGAUGAAAGUGGCUUUAGCAACUUGUAUUCUUUUUCUCUUUCAAACCUGAAAUUAAACUCAAAAUAUAUGUUAGAUCCAUAAUUUAGGUUUUAACAUCAAUUUGAGUUAAGUUGGAUGAUGUGAGUUUUUUAUAUUGCAUAAAUCAUAUCAUAUAUGUGUUAUUAGAUCACAUAUUUUGGCUCCAAUAAACCCCCUUAAGAGUUUAAGGCUUGUGGCUUUAUCCAUUAUGUCUUCCAAAACGAAGAACCCUAGUCUCCAUCUUUAUGGAAAGGAUUUCACCAUUAUUACCUGUCAAAGUCCAAGUGAGAGUUAUCAAGUAGAAGAUUGCAAGGUAUUUGAGACUUACAUCAUCUUUUUUUUCAUUUGGAUUUUGGUCUAGGAACAUCUAGAUCAAAGGUAUGUUUUUUAAACCCUAGAUCUAUAGUUUUUGAAUUAUUAUCACUUUUGUUGUGUAGAUCUAGUGAGCCUAGAUAACUAAAGAGGAUGCACCUAUGAUCUAGGGUUAUCCAAAUGGGUUUAGUGCUUAAUGCCACCCCACCCUUUUAGUUCAUUAGUUUAAAGUCAGCAAACAAGAGUGAGUGUUGGGAUAAAGUUUGAAAUGCACAUACAUAAAGUUUAAGUCCAAUAGAUUCUCAUGUUCACAUAUAAUUGUUAUAAUCAAAAUGACACAUUUAGAAGAUAUUUCCCCAAGUUGUACCAUGAAAAGGUGGACAAAAUAUUUUUUUUUAAAAAUCUAAGAUGUAAUCAAAUCAUGCUAAGCACAAUGAAAGUGAUACUGCUUCACAAUCCAUAUGCUUUGGUGUUUUGAGCUCUCUAAGAAAAAAAGAUGGUUUAUUUUGCUUCACAAAUACAUCAAAGUUUCAUGGAUACCAAACAUCAAAUAUAUUGAUAUUAUUUAGAAUUAAUGAGCUUUUCAAUAUUACAUCUUAAAGGGAAGAUCAUAUAUCCUCAAAAAUGGGCAUAAACACACUCAUUCUAUGAACCUAGAGAAUUACCUUUUUUGGGAUCUAAAUAAUGUGAAGAAUAAAGAGAACCUAGGUGGCUUAAAGGCCAAACUACAUAAACCAAAAGAUGUGGUAAAUGUAGAAUGCAUGUCACACAAUUUGAAAAUGGCCAAAGAUGUAAUCAAAUACAAAAUUUGAAUAGCAAUAUCACCUUACAAGAUGAGUCCCUCAAUUUACAUAUACAAGUUGACACAUCAAAUGAGAAGGAUCAUGCUGAUAUUCUAGAACAUAGUAUGACUUGAGUAAUAACCUUUAUUUUAUUUAUUUAUUUAUAUAUACUUAUUUCACCAUUAUUUAUAAUGAUUUGGAGUAUUUAUGUAACUCUCAAAUUGUAUCUACAAGAUCACAUAUCUUUUUUUCAUGAAAAUAUGAAACUAGAUCAACAUAUCGACCAUUGAUUAGUUUACAUGUUCUGUUUGACUAAUCAAUUACAAUUAUUUACAUAGAUUAUUGUGAAGUUAAACAUAUAACUUAUAACUCAUAAGAUAUAAUUAGCAACUUAUGUCCUAUAUGUAGGAUGUGUAUCCACUUCACAUUGAUAACACUAUUGCUACAAUGGAUUCACAAGCAUUUUCUUCCAUAAAUAAGUUGUUCUUAAUUAUUUUACUCCUAUUUAGUAAAGUAUGAUAUUAUUGUAAUACAUGGAUUUAUUAAUAGUAUAUAUUAUCCAAAAUGAAUUUUUUUUUAUAAGUCAAAGCGGAUUAGGCCAUUGUAUUAUGCAAACAAAUAAGAGCAUAAAAAAUAGUGUUUUAAAAAGCGCAUUUCAGUACUCCCUAUGGCAGAAUAAAUUGAGUGGAAUUCAACUCUUAGGGGUAGAAUUUACCUAUGAAUAAAGUUAAAGCACUAUGUCAUAGCAACCUAAGAUUAAAAAGUCUACAGGAAGUGUUAAAAUAUAGCAAGUAUUUAUAACACCUACUAUUGAUUUGAUCAUAUUGUUCCCUAAAUAGUGAAUUGCUCUAGAGAGUAGUUUUCUAUAUAUAUAAGUGGAAUUAAAAAAAAAUGAAAGUAAACACAUUUGAUAUGAAAUUGCUUUACUUAGCACUUUGGAGAUCAAUAGGAAUGAAAUUUAUAACUAUUGAUACUCAUUCUUCUUUAUCAAAUCACCUCUUAAAUAAUGAACUGCUCUAAUAAUCAAGUUUCUAAGUAGGUUAUAUAUAUAUAUAUAUAUAUAUUGAGAGAUAGAGAGCAAAGCACACUCAUUUGAUGAAAGCAAUCUAUAGAGUGUUUAAGAUAUAACUAUAUUGGAAUUCUUGAAGAUUGUCUUCAUUUCCUUCUAUCUUGAACAACUUAAUUCAAAAUUGACUCUAAUUUAUUUAUAUUACUUUCAUAAUAAUUAUUUAUUUAUAGGUCUCAUUUCUUUGGCAAAAUAUGCUUUAACCCUCAUAGGUUUUAAAUUUUAUCAAAAACCUCCCUUAUUUUGAGUGAGAUAGGAGAUUAAUGAAAAGCUAAAAGAGGUAUUUGAUGAAAUUUCAAACCUAUAGAGGUUAGGUGUAUUUAGCCAAAAUCUCGAGAGAGAUUAAUGAAAUUAACUCCUCUUUCAAUUAUACUUUAUUCCCAUUUAUUCAUACAUUUUGUGGCAUUUUGAUUCAUCUAAUUUUUUUUUCUAUUCUUUGAUACUAUUUUAUCAUACCUUGAAUUUAUUCUUUUGCACCUUCAAUAGUUUUAUUGAAAGUUGACUUCUAUCACUUCAUUAUAGCCUAGUCCUAUCUCUUUUAAAUUUGGUUCAAUUAAUUCACAUGUCUAUCUCAUUUCGUAGUAGUUAGUUCUAUAUAUUUGUAGAUUUAUCUCAUUGUUUAUAUGUUCAUCCUAUUUGUUCAUACAUCAAUCUUAUUUAUUUAUGCUUUGCUCAAUUUUAUUGAAAUUUGGCUCAUUUAAUUGUAUGUAUGUUUCAUCUAUUCCUAUACGACUCAUUUUUAGUAAUUUCAUUAUACCUUGACAUUUCAAGAUUUUCAAGUGUCUUACUGAUUUCUAUGCGAGCGUAAAUAAUUAGCCCUAUUUUAUCUUUUAUUUAAUUCACUUUUAAGGAAUUAACAUUUCUCUUAUUAAAUUUGUAUUCAAAUGCUCAAACAAUGGGUAAUAGAAUACUCUAUCAAAUUAGUUAUAACAAAAUUUUUAAAAUAUAUAUAUAUAUAUAUAUAUAUAUAUAUAUAUAUAUAUAUAUAUAUAUAUAUAUAUAUAUAUUAUUUAUUCAGACAUAUUGUGUGAAAAAUAUAUAUAUUAUGAUUAAUACAUUGAAAAAGAUUUUUUUUUAAAAAAAAUAAAUUAAACGGAAAUCAAUUGAAGGCAGAACCGAGCUUACACAGUAAAGAAAAAAAUAAUAAUUAGGGCUCUAUUUGGUAACUGUUUUCGAAAACAAUUAUGAAAAAUAGCUUUUGAUAAUUGUUUUUGAAAAUUAGUUCAUAAUGUUUUAUAAAACAAAAGUCUGUUUAAAAACCUAAAAUGUUAUAAUCAAUUUUUAAUGUUUUUAAAUAUAUUUAAAAAAUAAUUUUUAUAUGUAUUAUUUUAUUAUACAAUUAUUUCUUAAAACAAUUCUUAAAAAACAAGUAAAAAUAGUUGAAAUAAAUUAAAAGAUAUUUUUAAAAAAUAUUAUAUUUCUAUUCUUGAUAAUAGAAAAUAUAUAAUUUUUUUUUUGUUCGUCAAAAACAUGUUUUACAAAUUUUAUUUUUUUUAAAGAAGAAAAUACUGUUCUCGAAAUUGUUUCCAAACAUACCCUAACACUGUGUUUUGUAAUAUAUCCUAACAGGUGACUCUUUCCGUAUCAGAUUUUACCUUCAAUUAUUUAAAGUAGGGAGAAUUGUGUUUUGGGCCCAAAAAUUAACAUUUGGUCCAUAGAUGUUACAAAUUAAGUCCAACACCCAAACAAAGUCUCAAAAUUGAUAAGAAGGAUAUACAAUGUAUAAUUUGUCGAAAAUGCCCUCUACUGGGUAUUUAAAAAAAAAAAAAACUAAAGUCCACAUUGAAUUUCUCCCUUUGUUUUCCCCAAAUUGGAGUCUGCAUUAGGCAUUUUCACAUUCCUGACUUCGUCCCUCGCUUCCGCCCAAAGAAUUCCCUAAUCCUCUAUGCCAAUCUCGUUAUCUCUCGAUCUCAUCUUUCUCGGCCAUCUGAUUUUAAGUGUCGGCAGUGGAGUUUUUCAUCUCUAUCGAUCCAUUGUCAUUGACGAUCACCACUGGAUUUGGCCUCCAUGGAAAAGUAGUUGAUAGUUGAGGUUAGUAGGUUCAGCAAUUUCAUUUUUUACUUCAUUUCGGCUAUCCAGACCAUUUGAUUUCAGCCCAAAUACAUUGCUCUAAUUUAUCUCGCUAUUUCAAUUUUCCAUAUAUUGUUCCCUCAUCGAUCCCCAUAGAUGGUGCCCUCCAUGCUAAGCAUUGUUGGAUAUUUGAGGUUAGGUGGGACUUUCUGGAGGUUGCUUGCUGUCUGAAUUGAGGAAGGAGCUUCUCUUGCCAUCAGGUAAAGUAGUCUUUUUUUUUAAGCUUAAACCCCAUAACUGAUUUUUUUGGUUUAACUUAUAUUUUUUUAUGGGUAUUUUUUUAUUUAGCAUUAUGAUUAUCAACUCUUUAUUUUGUGUGGAUGACUUGAUCUCCUGAUAGCCAUCUUUCAUUGUGGGUUAUGGUGUUUACAAGACAUGGCUCACAAUUUGAAAUAGUGAGCAUCUUCAUGGGUUAAUUGUAGUUGCAUGUCGUGGUAUCAACAGUUUUUGUUUAGAUAAUUAGGUUUGUGUUCAAUUUACAUGAUUGAUAGCCUUGACAUGCAAAACCCACUUCUUUUUAUUAACCUGUGAUUUCACCAUGAUUGACUUGUUUCUCAAUCAAUAUGAGAACCCGCGAUUGGCAUGAAUGAUAAUGGUGAUGAUGAAGAUGACAUAAAAAUAUAUUUUGAUUUUGUUCGGAUUUUACUUGGUUCAUUGAUGUUUGUUUGAUUUAGCAUUGCAUAUUCAUUUUAGAAGUUUGUUUAAUACGUGUAUUUUAAUUCUAAUAUAUGACUAGUCAAUGCAAAUUGAUUUUCCUUUUGCAGACAUAUUUUUCCUCAUUUGGUUCAAAUCAAAUCUUUUACAUUAUAUUUACUUCCUUGUGUGGCAGUCUAGUUCAGUACGAUAGUUCGUUUGUUAACUUUCUUCGGUAAAACCCAAGUUCUUGUCACCCUAUAGUAUGAGAUACUGUGGGCUACUUAGUAUGUGUAGAUAAAUUAUCAUUUCCAACUUCAUGAAAUCUGUAGCUAACAUGAAUAUAAAUGGCAAAUAAAGAAACAAAUCAGUUCAAAGCUAGUUCAAUGACCCUUAAUUCUAUUAAAUUAGACCAACAACUAGGGAUUUCAUACAUAACAAAUCAAUUAAGGAAUUUCUCAUUGAAAUCCAAAAUGGUUUCCAACAAUCAUUCUAGUGCCCAAACACCUCCUUCCAUGUUUACUAUUCACUGAUGUUGAAUAUCAAACGCAUGCAAGGUGUAUAUUAUUUUCAGCAUACAAUUCAACUAGAAUGAAAUUCAGAUAAAUUUGAAGCUAUCGCUCAAGACCUUUGGUCUCUACCCGAACCCGAUGAAAAAAAUGGGAUCACUUCUUAUGAAACAUAAAUCAUGGAUCCACUAAGUCCUCUCGAGUCAGGGAAAACCUCUGAAAUUAUUUCCAAGUCACUUCUUUUUUUGUCCAAGUUGCUUCAGCAGACUGCCGGUGAUAAGCCGGAGGAAGGUGAGGAUGACGUCAAGUCAUCAUUAUUGAGCAUAAGCCAAAACACUAACCACAUAGCCAUCAUCUGUCCAUUUAUGAGUGUCAAAAGUAAGUGAGAUGUUGCCAUUGGGAUCCAGAGGGUCAUAGCACUCUGCAAAAACAGAGAAAGAGUCAACCAACUUGUUAAAAAACAAAAUAAGUGAAGUAACAAAAAGAAAAGUCUAUGUAUAAAUGAUGGUUGAUAAACUGGACAUGGCGACUAAUAAUAAUGUCAACUUCAAAGAAAAAGCCCACAUGGGAGGAAAGAUCAACCCCAUUUUCUAUAAUAUGCAUAAUUUUUUGUUCUAUAGCUAUAUUUGUAUAGGUUGAUGGACAGAACUAAUAGGAUAUAUUGUUACAAUUUCGUGGGAGGUAAACUUGUCCAAAAAAAUGAUGGGUAAUGGGAAUACGUAGGUGGAAGAAGCAAAGGUAUUCACAUAUAUAAAGGAAUGCCAUUUAAAGAAUUCACCAAAAAAAUCUUAGUGAAAUUUGACAUCUCCUUUGAUGCGAUUAAGAUGCACUACACCCUCAAGUUCAACCCCAGAGUCAUCCAAGAUUUAGAAGAUGAGGAUGACUUGGAUAACGUGGUUUCCCACUGUGAUGACUUUGCAAAUGUAUACCUAGUAGACUUACCCUGCAUGGAAGCCAUUGAAGCAAAUAUACCAAAUACACAGUUGGCAUUUGGGUAAUGGACUUUAACAUGAAUGUCUAUUUAAAAUAUUGUGAAUAUCAAUUUUACACAUCACGUAGUCUAAUUAUGUUAAUGUAUGUAAAUGCAGAGGUCCACUUGCCACGUUUCCUUCCUCUAAUGCAUCAUGCGAUGGAAUUCCUAAUACUAUGAUGCUAUCCAAAGGUUUUGCGUCUCGUCGUGCAGAUAGUGAGUACACCCCUUUGGAAUCGAUUCGUUUUCGUCAGACAAUAUUAAGGUCGGGACAUACAUUUAAAAAUGUUGAGGAGUUUCGGAACAUAAUUUACCAGAUGUCAUUAGGUGAAAGGUUUGAAUACAAGUACAAGAAAAAUUCCCUUACACAUAUGUCUGUAAAGUGUUCAGUUAAGGGUUGUCCUUGGAAGAUAACAGCUCACGCUAUAGAAGAAAAUGUCAUCUUGCAAGUUCAUACUUACCAAGUGAAUCAUAAUCAUAUAGCUUAGGAUGAGUGUUCAUCUAAGGUCAAGGUUUCUUCAAAGAGAGGCACGAUUGUUGUUGAAGAUGUGUUUAGAACCACUCCAGACUAUCUUUCUCAUCAAAUUUGUAAGGAUUUUGAACGUGAUCAUGGAGUUCAAUUGACAUAUAACCAAGCAUGGCACCUUAAAGAGAAGGCAAAAGAGGGCAUAUAUGGAGCUCCAUGUGAGUCCUACAUGUUUGUCCCUUGAUUAUGCCAUAGGCUAAGGGAAAUCAACCCCGACACUAUCACGUAGUACACUUCCCAUGAAGGUCACUUCAUGCAAUUGUUCAUUGCCCACGCAUUUUCAAUUCAAGGGUUCAUCAUAGGGUGUCGACCAGUAUUAGCUAUUGAUUCUUGCCACCUAAGCGGUCCAUAUAAGGGAGCUCUUUUGUCCGCCAUUGCAUAUGAUGCAGAUGAUGGAAUGUUCCCUCUAGCCCUUGGUAUGGCCAAUUCUGAAAAUUAUGAGGAUUGGUAUUGGUUUUUGGAGAAAUUAAAGGAGGUCUUAGAUGUUAAAGAAGUUGUUAUUAUAUCAGAUAGACAUCAGGGAAUCUUGCAUAGUGUUUUCGAGUUGUUCAGGACAGGAAAUCAUGCAUAUUGUUAUCAAUAUGUGAAGGAAAACUUUUCUAACUUCUUGAAUAAGCAAAACAUUAGAGGAAAGAAAGGGAAAGAAGAUGUUUUGUUACUCUUGGACAACAUUGCGUAUGCUAGGUUGGAUAUAGACUACAACGAGGCAUUCCAAAAACUUGUGUGCUUCAAUGACAACCUAGCAAAAUGGGUUGCCGAAAACAAUCCCGAACAUUGGGCAAUGUCAAAGUUUCUUCGAAAACGAUGGGAUAAAAUGACAAUUAACAUUGCAAAGUCCUUCAAUGCGUGGUUAAGAGAUGAGCGUCACCAAACAAUUUAUACGUUAUUGUUAAUGCACAUGGAUAAGCUUGUAGUCAUGUUAAACACCCAUAUGCGUGGUACAGAAAAGUGGAAGAGCAUGGUCAGACCAAAAAUUGAAGAUCAGCUAAUGUCAAAUAUCAUGAGGUAUGGUCUGAUUAGUGUGUUGCCUUAUUUGGGGGGGACGUUUAAGGUGUUUACUGGGGAGGUUUAUUUAGUUGUUGAUUUGAAUCAACGUACGUGUACUUGCAUGACAUGGCAAAUGUCUAGCUUGCCAUGUUCACACAUAUGUGCCGUCAUCCGCACACUGAGACACAACAUGUAUGAGUAUAUUGACCCAUGUUUUCAUGUUUCCACACAACAUUUGAUUUACUCGGGUCAGUUUCAACUAUUACCAACACACAAUAUGCCCUAAGUUUGUGACAUUCCUGCUCUCCAACACCCCCAUGUGAGACGUCCUCCAAGAAGACCCCAACAAAGACACAUUGAGUCAUAGUUUAGCCAUAAGAGAGCAAUUCAUUGCUUUUGAUGCAAUGGCAUAGGUCACAACCGGUCUAAAUGUAAUAAUCUGUAGCCAUGACAUGUGCAUUUUUUUGUGCUUGUGUGAUUCUCAUAUUUUGUAUCAUCCCAUACAUUCUAUUGUAGGGUAUAUGGUACGGGGUUGUUGAUUUUCGUUCUUAUGUAUUGGCCUCAUUAUAGGCACAAUGCACUAUUUUGUUAUUUUCAUGAUUUAGAGUUGCUUUGAUUAACCAAAUUAAUUGAAAGUGCAAUUUCAAUGUGGUUUCUGUUCACUUGUUAUUUCAUUCCACCAGUGCAAAUAAAUGAGGAUGACAGUUUGUUAUUAAUUUAUUCACAUAUUGGGGUUCACAAUUCUUGUUUUUUCCAAUCCAAGGAGACUUCCCCUUUCCUUUUCUAAAUUGCCUUAUUGUUAUUUAUUUCAUUUAUUUUAACCUUAUAAAUCUGAAUAUGAUAUACCAUUACCAAAUUUAUCCAACCAAUUAAUGGUACAAAUUGUCAAAUGACCUUCCCCUUUAUUAUUAGCUUCUCCAGGUGACCGAUAACUACUAUAGCACCCAUUUCAAGUUACCGGUUCUUCGAAGGUUCAAGCUUACAACAAUAAUUUCAUUCUUCAAUGGCCAUUGCGGAGGUAAUGCAUUCUUUCUUGUUUUUUAAUUUUCAUCACUUAUUUCGGGGACUUGAUAUUUUAACCUACUUAAGACAGUUACUUGUUUUGGGUGUUAAAGAUUCAUUAUUACUUAAAAAUCCACUAGUAAAUUAUUCAUCCACAUUAAUUUGUUUGUUAGUUCAUUCAAUUGUAUUGUUUUCUUUACCACGUUUAUGUAUUCAUAUUGAUUUUCUUAUUUCUUUGUUGAUUACUUAAAUUCAUGUGUAAGAUACUAAUGAUCUCCAACAAUUUUUUUGUAGGCCACCAGAUUGUUCACACGUUGUUCAUCUUUAAGAUUCCUAAAACUAUGCAACAAGCUCCUAGUUGAGAAAUUGGAUGUGGUUCGAGACCUUCAGUUUGAAGGUCUUCUCAACUUAAACUGCAAGGAGAUACGACAUAAUAUAUGUCUAUGACUAAACUGAGGUCGGCAACUCAUUCCUCUUUUCUCUCAUUUUCUCAUUCCUUCACUUCCCUAUUACACCCGUUUUCAUGUUUAUUAUUAUUAUUAUUAUUAUUAUUAUCAUCAUCAUCAUCAUCAUCAUCAUCAUCAUCAUUAUUUCUUGGUUUGAUUUUAAUAGUAAUUGUUGUUGAAAUUGGGCUUGUGCAUUUAUUUCUGUUUGUGGGCCUUAUGUUCAAGCUUUGUUAAUUAAUAUGACAUUUGGGUUAAUUUAUUGUUGGUGAAUUAAUUUGAAAUUUGUUAAUUUGGGUUUGUGGGAUUAAUUUAGUAUAUUUGGACUAUAUCAAUUGCAUAUUGUUUAUUUGGACUUGGGCUAUUGUUAAUUCGUUAUUUGUUUAGGUUUAUUGGAUUGGGCUUGAAAUAUUAUUUCGCUUAUUAAUUGGUUAUUUGUUUGAGCUUAUUAGAUUGGACUUGAGAUAUUAUUUCUUUUGGCCAUGUGUAGAUAUUAUUUCUUUUUGCCAUAUGUAUUAUUAAUGUGGGCUUAUUAAUUGGUUAUUUGUUUGGGCUUAUUAGAUUGAGCUUGAGAUAUUAUUUUCUUUGGCCAUGUGUAUUAUUAAUGUGGGCUUGUUAAUUGAUGUGAAUUUUGGGCCCACAAGUAGGUGAGAUUUGUUAGAUGAUUUGAAUAUUUGAUAUGAGCUUGGCCAAUUUGAACUAUUUCAUUUGAACAUGGGACAAUUGUGGUGUAUAUUAAAUUGGGCUUGGAUUAUGGAAUAUUAAAUUUAGGCCUAAUGAGGUUUAUCUUAAUUUAUCAUGUUUUGGGUUUGAUUAAUUGAGCUUAUAUUUUGACUAUUAAUUUUGAAACUUUAGAUUAGGGUCUAUGAUACCUGAGAUACUUUUGUUGGGUUAUAUUUAUUAAUUUGAGCACAUUUUUAAUUGGUGAAAAUUAUUGGAAAUUUGAAUUUGGGCUUGAAUAGUUAUUUUGGACUCUACAUGUUUUUGGAUAUUUAUAUUUGUGCUAUUUUUGUUUUUGCAUGGGCCACUCUGCAACCUUAUUAGCUGAGUACGAAUUGAUGACACAUGAAGCUUGUUGUAAGUUUAUUUGAGUACAUAUUUUAUUUCCCACUUUUACUUGGUUUUAUUUUUAUUAGUUCUUAUAAAUAUUUGUUCAUAUAUGUUUAUUUGUUGCGUACAAAAUUGAAUAUCGAACAAAUUACAAAUUUUGUUUAAAUAAGAGGAAUAAUUUAGUAAAUAUGUUUUAAUAAAAUAAUAAUUUUAAAAUAUUCUCCUUAAUAAAAGAAAGUAUUUUUUUAUUUAUUUAAAAAAAUUUAGAAAAAUCCAAAAGAAUUGUUUUUAAUUGAAUUUAAAAAAUUGUUUUUCAUAAAAUUGUCUAAAAAUUGUUUUGUAAAUAAAGUUGUCCCAAAAAUUAAUUUUUAAUAAAAUCGUCCAAAAAAUAUUUUUUUUUUCUUUUUCCUUAAUUAAAAUGGGAUUAAAAACAUUUUUUUAGAAAUAGAGGAUUUAAUUUUUUUUUCUUCUUUUUAAUUAAAAUUUCUUUUGCAAAUAAAAUUGUCUUUUUAAAUAAUUUGUAUAAAUCGCUCUUUUUAAAAAAAAAUGAAAAUGAAUCAAAAUACUUUUGUAAAUAAAAUUGUAAAAAGUCACUCAAUUUUUUUUUUUUUUUGUAAAAGCAAGUAAAAUAAUUUUUGUGGCCAAAUUGAAAUUUUGUAAUAAAUUCUUUUGAUACAAUAAAUGUAAAUAACUUUUUUAAAAAUUGAAUACAAAUGAAAUUAAAUAAAUAAAUUGCAACUUCUUUUUUGUAAAUAGAUAAAUUAGAAUCAUUAAUUCAAAAUUAUUUUUUUUAUAAAAUCCUUUGAAAUUUCUUGAAAACCAUUUUUUUUAAUACCCCUUUUUUAGUUCAAUAAAUCAUAUUUGCACAAUUCUCUUAUUAUUCAUUUCAUGUAUUCUUAUAAUUAGAUUUCAUCACUAUUUUUUCAUAUAUUGAUUUUCAUCAUGACUUGUACAUUGAUUAUUUUUCUUGGUAUCCAUAAUUAAUUAAUUAAUUCCCUUGAUUCGUUUAGUAGAUUUCAUAUGUAUACGGGCUUAGAGGGGUGUUAGGGCUCACCACCGUACCUUUCCAAUAAGAAACCUGACCCCCGAACCCGACUUUGGUUUUCCACAGACCCGUUUUUUCUUCAGGAGUCACACUUAGGGUUUUCCUUUCUUAUUUUGUUUUUCCUUUUAAAAAAAAAAUUAAAAUAAGUGGCGAUUCCAAGUCUUUUUCUAAAAAUCAAUUUUUCACUAAACAAAUAAAAAAGCAAGUCACAUCAUCGAGUGGGAACGCACGUGAAAAUGCGGGAUCCACACCUGUCCAAUUUAAUCUUUAAAUGAUUGAGAAACUAUUUGAAAUACCAAUAUCCAUAUGUAUUUAUUUUUCAUUAAUAUAGGUAAUCAUUUUCAUAUUAAAAGAAAAAAGAAAUCAUUUGCUAUCAACUCUUUCCAUGAUCAAAGCUAAAAAAACUUUAAUUCUAAAUCGUCAUCUCCAUUCCAAUCAUCUUCCUCGUCUUUAUUUUCUUUAUUACAAGACUCAAAACAACUACCUCCUAAUUCAAAAAGCUAUAAUUAGAAUCCUUUGAGUCUAUAUAUUAAUCUCUUCCAUGCCCGGAUGCCUUGAUCUGCAUUGAUGAGAUAUUACUCUUUUCUAUAGUUAAUUUCUUAAAUUCAUACCAACGCAUCAAAUAGUUUGAGACCAUUAAUUUGCUAUUAAGGCAUCGUGGUUGUAGAAAAAAAGAUACAUAUUGCCUAAAAAUUAAUUAAAUUUCCAUCAACUUAUAUCUCAAAUGGAGGGUUCUCCCUAUUAGUGAUUCAAUUGAACAAAUUCUUAUAAAACUUCUUAUGUUUAUUUAUUCCGGUAAAACAAAUUAAUAGGUUUUGUAGAUUUUUAAGCAUAUGGUUUAUUUUAUUAUUAGUCCAGCUCCCCAUAGGAAAAUAUCCGAUUGUGCAUUCAUUGAUCAAUGAGAUUGACAUACAAUUAAAUCCAUGCCCUUGUAAACGUCUUCACUAAAUAAGAAAGAGAGAACACAUUUCCUAGUUUGAAAAGUCAAAUUUCUUAAGAUAUUAUUAUUUGACCAUUGAAAUAAAGCAGAUAAGUUAAUUGGAGCCUACAAUGCACCUUUCCCUUUCAUAUCACUUUGCUGUCCAUCAUGUCUUCGAUAAAACGCCCUAAAGAAAAGUGUGAGGAUCCACCAUCUAUCUUGACUUUUCUACUUAUUUUUUUCAUUUCUUUCCUCUUCUUCCUCACUUCACUAUUAAUAUUCAUUAGGUUCCUUAAUCCAUUUUCAAUCUCAUGAGCACUUACAACAUAAUCACUAUCCUUAUUAUAAUCUAUUUUAAUUUCUAUUGCCAGCCCCAAAUCUUUCACCAUUUGAAAUGCGUUGAUUUGUUGUUCUGCAUACAUUGACCAAGUGGCUACAGGAACACCGUACCAUAUGCUUUCUAGCAAAGAAUUCCAUCCACAAUGAGAUACAAAUCCUCCAACAGCUGAGUGGGCUAAAACUGCUAUCUGUGGAGCCCAUCCAAUCACCUUUCCAAUUCUAGCCGUCCGAUGUAAAAAUCCUUCUGGUAGAACUUCCUCAAUAUUUUCAUAGCCGCUUGAAAAUUCCAUUUUACCCUUUUGGGGAG
rnacentral:lncRNA from 1 species